AUUGAACGCUGGCGGCAGGCCUAACACAUGCAAGUCGAGCGGUAGCACAGAGAGCUUGCUCUCGGGUGACGAGCGGCGGACGGGUGAGUAAUGUCUGGGAAACUGCCUGAUGGAGGGGGAUAACUACUGGAAACGGUAGCUAAUACCGCAUAACGUCGCAAGACCAAAGAGGGGGACCUUCGGGCCUCUUGCCAUCAGAUGUGCCCAGAUGGGAUUAGCUAGUAGGUGGGGUAACGGCUCACCUAGGCGACGAUCCCCAGCUGGUCUGAGAGGAUGACCAGCCACACUGGAACUGAGACACGGUCCAGACUCCUACGGGAGGCAGCAGUGGGGAAUAUUGCACAAUGGGCGCAAGCCUGAUGCAGCCAUGCCGCGUGUAUGAAGAAGGCCUUCGGGUUGUAAAGUACUUUCAGCGGGGAGGAAGGCGAUAAGGUUAAUAACCUUGUCGAUUGACGUUACCCGCAGAAGAAGCACCGGCUAACUCCGUGCCAGCCGCCGCCGUAA
rnacentral:rRNA from 1 species